rnacentral:rRNA from 1 species
ACUCAAAUGAAUUGACGGGGACCCGCACAAGCGGUGGAUGAUGUGGAUUAAUUCGAUGCAACGCGAAAAACCUUACCUACCCUUGACAUGGCAGGAACUUUCCAGAGAUGGAUUGGUGCUCGAAAGAGAACCUGCGCACAGGUGCUGCAUGGCUGUCGUCAGCUCGUGUCGUGAGAUGUUGGGUUAAGUCCCGCAACGAGCGCAACCCUUGUCAUUAGUUGCUACGAAAGGGCACUCUAAUGAGACUGCCGGUGACAAACCGGAGGAAGGUGGGGAUGACGUCAAGUCCUCAUGGCCCUUAUGGGUAGGGCUUCACACGUCAUACAAUGGUCGGUACAGAGGGUUGCCAAGCCGCGAGGUGGAGCCAAUCCCAGAAAACCGAUCGUAGUCCGGAUCGCAGUCUGCAACUCGACUGCGUGAAGUCGGAAUCGCUAGUAAUCGCGGAUCAGAAUGCCGCGGUGAAUACGUUCCCGGGUCUUGUACACACCGCCCGU